rnacentral:rRNA from 1 species
UACGUAGGGGGCAAGCGUUGUCCGGAAUCAUUGGGCGUAAAGCGCGUGUAGGCGGCUUGGUAAGUCUGCUCUGAAAGCCCGGGGCUCAACCCCGGGAGGCGGGUGGAUACUGUCAAGCUCGAGUCCGGAAGAGGAGUGUGGAAUUCCUGGUGUAGCGGUGAAAUGCGUAGAUAUCGUAAGGAAGACCAGUGGCGAAGGCGGGUCUCUGGACAGUUCCUGACGCUGAGGCACGAAGGUCAGGGGAGCAAACGGG